GACGAAGGGGGCUAGCGUUGUUCGGAAUUACUGGGCGUAAAGCGCGUGCAGGCGGUUAUCCAAGUUGGAUGUGAAAGCCUUGAGCUCAACUCAAGAAAUGCAUUCAGGACUGGGUGACUAGAGGACCGGAGAGGAUAGUGGAAUUCCCAGUGUAGUGGUGAAAUACGUAGAGAUUGGGAAGAACACCAGUGGCGGAGGCGGCUAUCUGGACGGUUUCUGACGCUGAGACGCGAAAGCGUGGGGAGCAAACAGG
rnacentral:rRNA from 1 species